GCUGGGGCAUGGUGGCGUGUGCCUGUAAUCCCAGCUACUUGGGAGGCUGAGGCAGGAGAAUCGCUUGAACCCGGGAGGCCAAGGUUGUAGUGAGCCGAGAUUGUGCCACUGCACUCCAGCCUGGGCGACAAGGCGAGACUCUGUCUCAA
rfam:Pongo abelii chromosome 7.